UUCAAUAAGUCACUCACUCGCAAGAUAGUUUCUUACUGAGCAGAGUUGACACGAAGUAGUCUAUGUUCUUGUUGGUAUUUUGUUCGAUUCCUUUUUUGUUAAUGUGGCUGUGUUUUCGUACUGUGAACUUACAGUGUUCCCUGUGACCUAACAAAUGUGAAAUCUUGUUGGUGUUUUCCUAUGAUUUGUGGCUAUGUUUUCGUACUGUGAACUUACACUGUUCCCUGUGACCUAACAAAUGUGAAAUCUUGUUGGUGUUUUUCUAUAAACGUAUUUAUUUGAUUUAGUCGUUUGAACUAAGCAAAUCAUGACAGAGUUCCAACUGAUUUACUGUCAAGUCUUCUUUUUAUAUUCUGCUCAUAAUAGAUAUUGGUUGAUUUCUGCAGCGGAGUGCAAUGAAUGAUUGUUGCUAACAAAUUUGAGGAGUUUAUGCUUCUCCGUCUCUUGCUUCCUGGGAAGGUUCCUUCCCCGUUAUGUUUAAUUGGGCAGUCAUGAUCAAGAAAACUCUACAGUUUUUCUGUGAGAUUAUUUGUGGAUAUAUAAGGAGUCCUUUUUUUUUUUUUUGCAAUUCCUAGAUAUUUUGUUCUCCCUGCACAGAGAAGAAGUUUUCUGUUGACUCUGAAUUGCGUUGCUUUGGGGCCACAAAGUGUGUAGCAGCACUUGUUGGAUUUCCCAUAUAAGAAUUUCUGGUAGUGAUGAUCAUCAUCUGUUGUAAGUUUUCCUUUAUUCUUUUGAGGGUUGAAGUUUUGUGCUGUGGAUUUAUACAUUAAAAUGUGACGUCCAUGACGACAAAUGGACAGACAGGGGCGGUUCAACUAGAAGGAUUGAAGGCUUUAGACUAAGUAAGCUUAUGAAGAAACAAAUCCCUCAUUAGGAAGGGAGAAGUGAAUGAAGUGCUUUAUAAAAAAUAAAC
rnacentral:lncRNA from 1 species